AGAGUUUGAUCAUGGCUCAGGACGAACGCUGGCGGCGUGCCUAAUACAUGCAAGUAGAACGCUGAAGAGAGGAGCUUGCUCUUCUUGGAUGAGUUGCGAACGGGUGAGUAACGCGUAGGUAACCUGCCUUGUAGCGGGGGAUAACUAUUGGAAACGAUAGCUAAUACCGCAUAACAAUGGAUGACCCAUGUCAUUUAUUUGAAAGGGGCAAAUGCUCCACUACAAGAUGGACCUGCGUUGUAUUAGCUAGUAGGUGAGGUAACGGCUCACCUAGGCGACGAUACAUAGCCGACCUGAGAGGGUGAUCGGCCACACUGGGACUGAGACACGGCCCAGACUCCUACGGGAGGCAGCAGUAGGGAAUCUUCGGCAAUGGGGGCAACCCUGACCGAGCAACGCCGCGUGAGUGAAGAAGGUUUUCGGAUCGUAAAGCUCUGUUGUAAGUCAAGAACGAGUGUGAGAGUGGAAAGUUCACACUGUGACGGUAGCUUACCAGAAAGGGACGGCUAACUACGUGCCAGCAGCCGCGGUAAUACGUAGGUCCCGAGCGUUGUCCGGAUUUAUUGGGCGUAAAGCGAGCGCAGGCGGUUUGAUAAGUCUGAAGUUAAAGGCUGUGGCUCAACCAUAGUUCGCUUUGGAAACUGUCAAACUUGAGUGCAGAAGGGGAGAGUGGAAUUCCAUGUGUAGCGGUGAAAUGCGUAGAUAUAUGGAGGAACACCGGUGGCGAAAGCGGCUCUCUGGUCUGUAACUGACGCUGAGGCUCGAAAGCGUGGGGAGCGAACAGGAUUAGAUACCCUGGUAGUCCACGCCGUAAACGAUGAGUGCUAGGUGUUGGAUCCUUUCCGGGAUUCAGUGCCGCAGCUAACGCAUUAAGCACUCCGCCUGGGGAGUACGACCGCAAGGUUGAAACUCAAAGGAAUUGACGGGGGCCCGCACAAGCGGUGGAGCAUGUGGUUUAAUUCGAAGCAACGCGAAGAGCCUUACCAGGUCUUGACAUCCCGAUGCUAUUUCUAGAGAUAGAAAGUUACUUCGGUACAUCGGUGACAGGUGGUGCAUGGUUGUCGUCAGCUCGUGUCGUGAGAUGUUGGGUUAAGUCCCGCAACGAGCGCAACCCCUAUUGUUAGUUGCCAUCAUUCAGUUGGGCACUCUAGCGAGACUGCCGGUAAUAAACCGGAGGAAGGUGGGGAUGACGUCAAAUCAUCAUGCCCCUUAUGACCUGGGCUACACACGUGCUACAAUGGUUGGUACAACGAGUUGCGAGUCGGUGACGGCAAGCUAAUCUCUUAAAGCCAAUCUCAGUUCGGAUUGUAGGCUGCAACUCGCCUACAUGAAGUCGGAAUCGCUAGUAAUCGCGGAUCAGCACGCCGCGGUGAAUACGUUCCCGGGCCUUGUACACACCGCCCGUCACACCACGAGAGUUUGUAACACCCGAAGUCGGUGAGGUAACCUUUUGGAGCCAGCCGCCUAAGGUGGGAUAGAUGAUUGGGGUGAAGUCGUAACAAGGUA
rnacentral:rRNA from 1 species